rnacentral:lncRNA from 1 species
AAUUAGCCAAAAAAAUAACCCUUUAUCAUCAAUUGGCAAUUUUUACAAACUUUAUCCAUCAUAAAAUGCUAACCCAAGGGGUUUGAAACUUUAACCACAAAUUCGGUGAAUUCAACAAUUAUAUUUUUAUCAAAUACAAAUUUUGUGCAUACAUAUGAGUGCGUGAAACCAGGAUCAAUCAAAGCAAUAAUAUCAGUAUCAAGUAGAGA